rnacentral:rRNA from 1 species
GAUGAACGCUAGCUACAGGCUUAACACAUGCAAGUCGAGGGGAAACGGCAUCGAAAGCUUGCUUUUGAUGGGCGUCGACCGGCGCACGGGUGAGUAACGCGUAUCCCACCUGCCCAUCACUUGGGAAUAACCUUGCGAAAGUAAUACUAAUGCCCAAUGACAUCCCACGAAGGCAUCCGAAUGGGAUUAAAGAUUUAUCGGUGAUGGAUGGGGAUGCGUCUGAUUAGCUUGUUGGCGGGGUGACGGCCCACCAAGGCAACGAUCAGUAGGGGUUCUGAGAGGAAGGUCCCCCACAUUGGAACUGAGACACGGACCAAAAUCCUACGGGAGGCAGCAGUGAGGAAGAGUGGGCAAUGGGAGAGAGCCUGAAACAGCCAAGUAGCGUGCAGGAUGACGGCCCUAUGGGUUGUAAACUGCUUUUAUAAGGGAAUAAAGUGGGUCACGUGUGACUUUUUGCAGGUACCUUAUGAAUAAGGACUGGCUAAUUCCGUG